rnacentral:miRNA from 1 species
UUUCUCUCUUUCUUUUCUUCUAACCUUCAAGUCCACACUCUAAAUAUAGAGUGUGGACUUGAAGGUUAGGAGAAAAGAAAGAGAGAAA